GCUCGGCUCGGCUCGGCUCGGCUCGGCUCGGCUCGGCUCGGCUCGGCUCGGCGGCCUUGGCUGCCGCCUGGCGGUAGCGGCGCCUGAGCCUGAGCCGGAGCCGCGCGCUACCGCCGGUAGCAGCCUCCCGCCGUUACACGGGUGCUGGCGGGGCCGGUUAAGGAGCAAAGAACCAUUUUGUCUUUCAGGCAGGAAGUUUGAUGGUUGCGCAAAGCGAUCACGCAGUUUCUGAGCUUCGCUUCCCUGAGCUAAUUAAAGGGUCUCUGGUGGAAGCAAGACAGAUGCCCAGAACCAGUUGGAGGGAUCUUAGAAGGUGGCUCACACACUGACAGUGCUUUAGAAAACUGGCCCAGGAGCUGAGUCAGACCUGUGAACUAGAGAGGUCAUUCUUCUGAUCUUUGUGUGUGUGGCUGUUGGAGCUGAAAGGGUACAGGGAUGAGUUCUUUCAGGGAAUGAACUGCGCUGUGAUUAUAGAACUGAUUAAGCUUUAGUGACCUCUCAACUGUCUUUCUAGGGAGCAUCCUAUGUCUGGCAUUCCUAAAUAGCAUGAUGUCUAAAUGUCAUACAGUUCUCAAAAUCUGAAAAUCCAAGUUAACUACAAUAUCUAAAUUAAAUGCAGUAGGCUAUACGAAUACAUAUCAUCUGUUCUAUGCAGUUUCUCCAUAAAAUUCCAAAUCAGAGAGUCAAUAAAAGGAAGAGACUGAACACAAAAUGAAAGGAGGGGUCUGUGUGGCUUUGUAACUUUGUGCAGUCCAUCAACACCAUUGAGAGGCUGUUUUAUAUUAGAGAAAUUCAAAAUGCAGCAUGAGCAAAGGUGUCAUAAACUUUCUCCUGUGUGCCUUUGCCUCUCAGAAAGCAUAUUAUGCUCUUCAGAGAGCAUAGCACAUGGUUUAGCACAAAGGAUUCAGCUUGUCCAAAAUGAAAAAUUUGUGCUUUUUGUCUCUUUGUAAGCAAAGAUCAGUUGUUUCAGGAGUUUCAUACAAAAUCUAGGCAUGGAACAAAAUUGAAGGUAGUUGUAAACUAGACCUGAGGCCUACAGGAUAGCCUAUAAUUUAAAAUGGCUGGUGACUGCUUUGUGGCUACAGUGGUGCCACAAAGUGUCUGCAGAAUCACUCAGAAUUCUAACCUGUUCUUCUAGAUUUAUAAGAAACCUCAUCUUUUUGAUACAUUGGGAAUAGUUUUGCAGACAGUUCUUUCCUUAGUGUUUUAAUGUUUUUUGUUGGUUUUUUUUACAGAAACAGGAUGUCUUGUUGAUCGUAUUUCUUGACAAGUGGUGGGGUUUUUACCCAGGGCAAAUCAGGAUGGUUCAAGAAUGUAAUCUGUUGCACUCCUCUAUUUUGUGUGGUUGAUUCUCUAAUUAGCUGUGACAAAGGUAUGCUUAGUGAACCUGUUUUUUUGAAGUGCUUACUAGAAGCAUGUGACUUAUCAUGUCUUUUGUAAACCUACAGAUAUUGCCAUGUGCUAGCAAUUUAAGCUAGCAUUUGCAAGUUGAUGGUGUAGCAGUUAAAUUACUAGUGAGAUAAUUGCACUAAAGGGUCCCAGAAUGUAAAAGUAACAAAUGCUAUGGCUAAGUAAUUUUGGUAACUUGAAAAGGACAUCUGGCCAAACAUGCAUGGCCUAUAUUACUUUAAGUCUAUACCUUCUGAAGAGAACCACAUGUAUAGAGAACUACGUGUGUUUCUUGACCCCUUCUACAUAAACGUACGUGUUCUCUGAAUUAAUUUAAUGUCUGACUUUGUAAGGUCCUGAACAAUCUACAACUGGAUAAUAAGAGACUGCUGAGCACAGGAUAGAAAAAGACCCAAAAUAUUAUUUUACUAAGACCUUUCAGUCAGCUAUUGCAUUUCAUAUCAGAGGAUAAGGUGUUUUGCUGGUGGCUGAAGUGAUGCUUUUAUAACCUUUGCCGAAUUAUGGGGCUGUUGUUAGAAUUUAUUAGCUAACAAUUUAUAACUUUUUGAGAUCCUUGGGUAAGGUGCUGUAGAGGUGAAAUAAUUACUUUGUGCUUGUAGAAAAUUUUCAUCAUAGUAAAUAAAUAAAAAUUAUGGUGAAUCAUUAUGUAGCAAUUCCAUAAAAUAAUGAUUAAGGUAGAAGAAUUAAAAAAUAUUUUUCCUUUAAUAUAAAUAAUAAAUUAAGAUUGUGAUGAUUGGUAUUAAGAUGGAGUAUUGUAUGUUCUUGCAUGACAACAGAGUUUAAAGGUUUACAUAGGAAAAAAAGUGUCAGUUUUUGCGGAACACACCUGUUAUCCAUUUUAUUUGAAAAUGUAAAAAUUGCAAUAUUUAUCAAAACUGUAUCAUUCCUAUGAUUUUUUUUAUUGCUGUUUAAUAUUGUUUUUAAUUUUUUUUAUUAAGCACUCAUAUGGUCAAAGCAUCUAAACUGUGUUAUGAUUAAUGAGGAGAGGCAGAUGAAUAUUUUUGACUUGUAGCUCAAUACACUAAACCUGCUUUUGCAUUAAAAUACCCAUUGCAAACUUGUUACAGGACGAUUUAAUGUAACACUAUUAUAAAUAAGUUAAAUGAACUCUUGUGUUAGAAGAGGAACCUGGAAUAGAGCCAAUCUUUUCUCAUGCCUACUCUAUCAUGCUUUUUAGAGAGAGCCUGCCUUUUUCAGGCAUAGAGUCUUCAUAGCCUCACUGAAAAUAUUAGUUAUGGUCUUCUCUCUAGUGUGAGAUUGGAGUUAGACAUAUGAGAAGAGGCUUUAUUGUUCAGACUUGCCUCCAGAAAGGAAAGGUGCUCAUAACCAUUCAUCUUUUUCCAGAAGAAAAACCUGUAAAGGUGCCAUGCUGUGACUGUAAGGCUCACUCUUUACACCUCACCUCCUAAUUCUCUGACACAGAGAUUGACUGUAACACAUUCCCAGCACAGUUCUACAAUAUCUCUCUGACUUGCGACUCUUUCUGCAGUGAAAGGUGCCAGGUUAUUGCACUACAGCCAGGCCUGUAUCUCUUAGAAAGAAAACCAAGCUUAAAGAAGGUUGACUGAGGGUACAUUUUCAAGGCAUCAGGCUGGCAGUAUGGUUGCUGUCCAUCAAUUGACCUGUCUAGUCUGAAGGCAUACCCCUCAUAUAACUGCACAUACAUGCGUAUCUGUCCUGUGGCUGUAGAAUACCACAUGCCUUUCCUGCAGCUUUUUCACCUGGUCACAUGCUUGGAUUCUUGCACAUUGGCGCUCAGGUAAGUUGGAAAGCCUUGACAAGCAGGAAGUAGAGUAGUAGUCAAAAAGAGAAUAAGUCAAACUGUCUCAUGAAAAGAGUUUUAAGAUAUACUUUGGAGUUUUUUACUCUCUGGAACAAAAAGUGUACUGGGUUGUUGUCAGGCAUAAAUGGGUAUAACCUGUGAGUACAAAGACAUUCAAGCAAGUUUGUUGGCUUAUUGCAGUAGUAAGACAAGUAAUAAUUUUAGUUGAAUUGUAAUACAAAUUAGAUGUCUUCUCCUUGCCCCAGGUAAAUUCAUGGUCAGAUUAAUCAAAACGAAUAAAUAAUGCUUUUACGUUUGCAUUCCUUUUUACCUACCAUUCCAUUACUUCUUGCAUCCAUACUAAACAACAUUCCAUUGCUUCUUAUGUAUAAAGAAGGGAAACUGCCUGAUAAUGAACUCAGUGACCAUCUUUGACCACGAAAAGAACAUUUUAAAACCGGAACACAGAGGUGGGUUCUGCAAAUAGAACAAUCUGAAUUUUUGAUCAGAAUAACAGGAUUGAGGUGGUCCAAACAUGCCUGGUUUCCCCUCAGUUCUGAUUGCCUUGUUAGGAGGCUUAUGCUCUUUGAUCCAACUGUGAACAGAAUAGGACAUUUCUUUUUGUCUUUAGAUUAUCGUCUUUUCUGGACAUGUUUCUAGCUAUUGCAGCCUUUUUCAUAUCCAGGAGAAGGAAUUGAAGAGGUGUAUUUGCUUCUAUAUGCACACUGAUUCCAUCUUGCAGGGUGGGUGCCGUGGCAGUAUCCCAUGGGAGGAAAGGCGGGAUUCAGAACAUCUGUACAAGAAUGUUUUUUAUGUAUCCUAAAAUGUG